CCUACGGGAGACAGCAGUGGGGAAUAUUGCACAAUGGGGGAAACCCUGAUGCAGCGACGCCGCGUGAAGGAAGAAGUAUUUCGGUAUGUAAACUUCUAUCAGCGGGGAAGAAAAUGACGAUACUUGACUACGAAGCCCCGGCUAACUACGUGCCAGCAGCCGCGGUAAUACGUAGGGGGCAAGCGUUAUCCGGAUUUACUGGGUGGAAAGGGAGCGUAGGCGGUGCAGCAAGUCAGAAGUGAAAGCCCGGGGCUCAAACCCGGGAAUGCUUUUGAAACUGGUGAACGAGAGUGCAUGAGAGGUAAGUGGAAUUCCUAGUGUAGCGGUGAAAUGCGUAGAUAUUAGGAGGAACACCAGUGGCGAAGGCGGCUUACUGGACUGUAAAUGACGCUGAGGCUCGAAAGCGUGGGGAGCAAACAGGAUUAGAUACCCCUGUAGUC
rnacentral:rRNA from 1 species